rnacentral:lncRNA from 1 species
UGAUGUUGUUUAAUGGGACAAUUCAGUCACUAAAGGAGGAGCACAGCCAUGCCAUACAGAUGAAAUUCUACAUUGUUCACUUGGCCAGUCUUUACCUACAGUCAGAUUCAUUAUUUUGGAUGGGGCCCCGCUUAUUUCAAUGCAUUAAGGAAAGAGGCGGAGCAUUAGUGUGAAUGGGAGGGCCAAAGCUGGAGAUGACACCUGAGCAGCCUGGUCUGCAUGUAAGCUCUCAUGCACCUAUGCACCUCCACCCCUUACAACAGGGAACAUUUCUAAUGGUGCUUCAACUGGUGCUCAGGCCCAAAAGAGAUGGAGACAGCCAUGGCUACGGUCAUUUUGGACAUCAGCUGAUCUGUAACACUCCCUGCAUCCAUGGCGGCAAGUUUUUCGGAAGACAAUUGAGAUGUUCUCCCAAGCUACUGCUGCAGGUCGUAGCAUUGAUGAAUUUGUCAAGACAUCUGUUGAUAAGGCCAGUCAAACCUGCGCGUCCCAUAAAGGGAAUAUCCUUCUCCUUUAACGAACCGCCCCACCAUGUACCGGCGGAGCUACCGCCAAAUUCUCGUAACGUCUCAACAUGGUGGCGAGUGCCUAUUUAUAAAUAGAUAGUAGAUAUAUAGAUAGAGAAAUACUAGCUAAAUAAAACGUGUCUACUGUGGUCAGACUAUUGUGAAAUCAAAGGAAACAUUUUUUUCGGUGUGUUUGAGUCGUGUGUUAUCAUUGUCUGUUUGGCCCUCACAGUGCUCUCAUUACAAGAUCUUGGCACUGGGGUCUAUGCAAAAAAAGAACGAAAAAUGUCUUUUGCAGGAUCUUCAGCUAGAAAAAGUGUUGUAUAGAAUAUUUUGCACUUCACAAAAAGAUCAAACAGCAAUGAGAUCUGAAGUAAACUUUUGCAGCGCAGCGGACUGAAACUUACUUGAGGGUUAAAGGGAUAGUUCACCUUCAGUUGCUGGUCCCCAUUGACUUCCAUAGUAUGGGGGGGAAAAAACACUAUCCAAGUCAAUGGGGACCAGCAACUGAAAGUGAACUAUCCCUUUAAGCUGUGUUCAUACUGAAAGCGAAUUGUAGUUCAUUUUCAAUGGGUUUUGGUGACUUGAAGCGGAUUUCAGCGCUGUCAUUGUGACCGCGUCUAAAGGGAUAGUCCACCCA